UCCCGUUUAUAAAAUAACGCUUGUCAGGGGAAGUAAUUGUUGCAGUCUAUACUUUUGGUUGUUGUCUAUGAUUAUCGUUCGUGCAAAUGGUGGCGCUGUUUGGAAAAUUUGAAAACAACACGAUUGGCAAUUUAUUUGGAUUUUGGAGAUCCUGGUCCUGGUUGAAAUUCAGAGUAUUGGAGCUGUAGCCUGUAUACCAUACAUUCAACAUUAAAAGGACUGUCAGGAUGCUGCAUAAAAUGGUCUUAGCUAGAGCUUAGAAUGUUGAUUUCUUGGGAAUAUGCUGCAAGGAACUGACGGGGAGCAGUUUUUCUUACCAAUCAUAGAAGCAGUAAGAGACAGCCAAAGAAGUACUCAAACACUUGACAUACCCAGAAAGAUCUAGAAGAAAAGAUUGGAACAGAUUGUAGUUUAAUUGAUAAAACUAUUAAAGUGAAUUUAAGCUGCACUUGAACUGUAUUUUUGAAAUAAAAUAUCUGAAGUAUUUAAUAUUGUCUUGAUAUUUUGUUAAACUUGGUUACUUUGCUUUAUAUCCAAAAAUUAAAGUAUGGUGGGUUUCAACGUUGAAAUGA